CUAGUAGUGGCGAGCGAACGGGGAUUAGCCCAAACCACCCAUGUUACGGCAUGUGUGGGGUUGUAGGACCACGCUCUCGCAAGACAGUUAUUGAGAAGAAACGACUGGAAAGUCGUGCCAUAGACGGUGAUAGCCCGGUAUUCUAAGGUAACCGAAGCGUAGUGGUAUCCUGAGUAGCGCGGAGCACGAGGAAUUCUGCGUGAAUCAGCCGGGACCAUCCGGUAAGGCUAAAUACUCCCGAGAGACCGAUAGCGAACCAGUACUGUGAAGGAAAGGUGAAAAGCACUUCGAAUAGAAGAGUGAAAUAGUCCCUGAAACCAUGCGCCUACAAGCGGUCGGAGCAGCUUAAGCUGUGACGGCGUGCCUUUUGCAUAAUGAACCUACGAGUUACUUUUUCCGGCAAGGUUAAGCAUCUUGAGAUGUGGAUCCGAAGCGAAAGCGAGUCUGAACAGGG
rnacentral:rRNA from 1 species